AAGCAACCGCCGGUUGAACGGAAAUCAUUGAUGUUGAUUAAUAUGAAUUAUUUAAAUUCGUUGCUUA
rnacentral:tRNA from 1 species